rnacentral:misc_RNA from 1 species
GAUGAAGAACGUAGCGAAAUGCGAUACUUGGUGUGAAUUGCAGAAUCCCGUGAACCAUCGAGUCUUUGAACGCAAGUUGCGCCCGAAGCCAUUAGGCCGAGGGCACGCCUGCCUGGGCGUCACACGUCGUUGCCCCCCCCAUCUACUCCUUCGGGAUUGCUGGGGGCGGAUGAUGGCCUCCCGUGCGCCUCGCCGCGCGGUUGGCAUAAAUGCCAAGUCCUCGGCGAUGCACGCCACGACAAUCGGUGGUUGCGAAACCUCGGUUGCCCGUCGUGUGCGGUCGUCGCGCAUCGAGGGCUCGAAAAAAUUGCCGGGUUCCGGCUCGGCUUUCAACGCGACCCCAGGUCAGGCGGGGUUACCCGCUGAAUUUAAGCAUAUCAAUAAGCGGAGGA